GGCGGUUAGCUCAGUUGGUUAGAGCGCCACGUUGACAUCGUGGAGGUCGUUCGCCUGGAUAUUUGCCA
rnacentral:tRNA from 1 species